AGCAGGCCCUCCUGCUCC
rnacentral:misc_RNA from 1 species